GGGGAAUAUUGGACAAUGGGCGCAAGCCUGAUCCAGCCAUGCCGCGUGUGUGAAGAAGGCCUUAUGGUUGUAAAGCACUUUAAGCGAGGAGGAGGCUACUUUAGUUAAUACCUAGAGAUAGUGGACGUUACUCGCAGAAUAAGCACCGGCUAACUCUGUGCCAGCAGCCGCGGCAAUACAGAGGGUGCAAGCGUUAAUCGGAUUUACUGGGCGUAAAGCGCGCGUAGGCGGCUAAUUAAGUCAAAUGUGAAAUCCCCGGGCUUAACUUGGGAAUUGCAUUCGAUACUGGUUAGCUAGAGUGUGGGAGAGGAUGGUAGAAUUCCAGGUGUAGCGGUGAAAUGCGUAGAGAUCUGGAGGAAUACCGAUGGCGAAGGCAGCCAUCUGGCCUAACACUGACGCUGAGGUGCGAAAGCAUGGGGAGCAAAC
rnacentral:rRNA from 1 species